UUCGACUUGUCAGUGGAACUUCAAGAAAUGAAGGUCGGGUAGAGGUGUUUAUCAACGGUAAGUGGGGCACAGUAUGUGAUGAUUCCUGGGACGUUAAGGAUGCCGCUGUUGUAUGCAGAAGUUUAGGAUUUUCAGGAAUCUCAACUGCUCACCAAGGAAGCCAUUUUGUUGGAGGGUCGGGAACUAUUUGGUUGGAUGACGUAAAGUGUGACGGAACAGAGUCUUCUCUAUUUGAUUGUACUCACAACGGUUUCGGGAAAGAAAACUGUUAUCACAAUGAAGAUGCUGGUGUAACAUGUACUUAAUUCCUAUGACGAACAAUUAAAACGUCAAAUAAUGCAUUUAUAAAUGUAAAAGAAUCAAAAAUAUCCUAUACUUUGAUCUGGUUGAAUCUGAAUAAAUGUGCUCACAAA